UGCGUAGGUGGUCGGGUCAGUCUGAUGUGAAAUCUCCGAGCCUAACUCGGAAACUGCAUUGGAUACUACUUGGCUGGAGGGUUGGAGGGGGGACUGGAAUUCUCGGUGUAGCAGUGAAAUGCGUAGAUAUCGAGAGGAACACCAGUGGCGAAGGCGAGUCCCUGGACAACUCCUGACACUGAGGCACGAAAGCUAGGGAGCAAACA
rnacentral:rRNA from 1 species